GACGAACGCUGGCGGCGUGCCUAAUACAUGCAAGUAGAACGCACAGUUUAUACCGUAGCUUGCUACACCAUAGACUGUGAGUUGCGAACGGGUGAGUAACGCGUAGGUAACCUGCCUGGUAGCGGGGGAUAACUAUUGGAAACGAUAGCUAAUACCGCAUAAUAUUAAUUAUUGCAUGAUGAUUAAUUGAAAGGUGCAAUUGCACCACUACCAGAUGGACCUGCGUUGUAUUAGCUAGUAGGUGAGGUAACGGCUCACCUAGGCGACGAUACAUAGCCGACCUGAGAGGGUGAUCGGCCACACUGGGACUGAGACACGGCCCAGACUCCUACGGGAGGCAGCAGUAGGGAAUCUUCGGCAAUGGACGAAAGUCUGACCGAGCAACGCCGCGUGAGUGAAGAAGGUUUUCGGAUCGUAAAGCUCUGUUGUAAGAGAAGAACGGGUGUGAGAGUGGAAAGUUCACACUGUGACGGUAGCUUACCAGAAAGGGACGGCUAACUACGUG
rnacentral:rRNA from 1 species